GAUGAAGAACGUAGCGAAACGCGAUACGUAAUGUGAAUUGCAGAAUUCAGUGAAUCAUCGAAUCUUUGAACGCAUAUUGCGCUCUCUGGUAUUCCGGAGAGCAUGCUUGUUUGAGUAUCAGUAAACACCUCAACUCCCUUUUCUUUUUUGAAAUUGGAGCUGGACUUGAGUGAUCCCAACGCUUUCUUCCAAGAAAGUGGCGGGUUGCUUGAAAUGCAGGUGCAGCUGAACUUUUCUCUGAGCUAUAAGCAUAUCUAUUUAGUCUGCCUAAAAAACAGAUUAUUACCUUUGCUGCAGCUAACAUAAAGGAGACUAGUUCUUGUGCUGACUGAUGCAGGAUUCACAGAGACAGCUUCGGCUGACUUUGUAAACUCGAUCUCAAAUCAAGUAAGACUACCCGCUGAACUUAAGCAUAUCAAUAAGCGGAGGA
rnacentral:misc_RNA from 1 species